ACGGAAGGCAGCAGUGAGGAAUAUUGGUCAAUGGGCGGAAGCCUGAACCAGCCAAGUCGCGUGAAGGAUGAAGGUAUUAUGUAUUGUAAACUUCUUUAGACGUAGAGAAAUAAGAGGCUCGUGAGCCUUGAUGCUAGUAUACGUAGAAUAAGGAUCGGCUAACUCCGUGCCAGCAGCCGCGGUAAUACGGAGGAUCCGAGCGUUAUCCGGAUUUAUUGGGUUUAAAGGGUGCGCAGGCGGCCCUGUAAGUCAGCGGUUAAAUCGUGGAGCUCAACUCCAUCCCGCCGUUGAUACUGCAGGGCUUGAUUGCGGUCGAGGUUGGCGGAAUUCGCCGUGUAGCGGUGAAAUGCACAGAUAUGGCGAAGAACUCCGAUUGCGUAGGCAGCUGACCAGGCCGUAAAUGACGCUCAUGCACGAAAGUGCGGGGAUCGAACAGGAUUAGAUACCCUGGUA
rnacentral:rRNA from 1 species